GACGUAGGGCGCGAGCGUUGUCCGGAUUUAUUGGGCGUAAAGAGCUUGUAGGCGGUCUGUCGCGUCUGCUGUGAAAAUCCGGGGCUCAACCCCGGACUUGCAGUGGGUACGGGCAGACUAGAGUGUGGUAGGGGAGACUGGAAUUCCUGGUGUGGCGGUGAAAUGCGCAGAUAUCAGGAGGAACACCGAUGGCGAAGGCAGGUCUCUGGGCCACUACUGACGCUGAGAAGCGAAAGCAUGGGGAGCGAACAGG
rnacentral:rRNA from 1 species